GUACACUCCUACGGGAGGCAGCAGUGGGGAAUUUUGGACAAUGGGCGAAAGCCUGAUCCAGCAAUGCCGCGUGAGUGAAGAAGGCCUUCGGGUUGUAAAGCUCUUUUGUCAGGGAAGAAACGGUGAGAGCUAAUAUCUUUUGCUAAUGACGGUACCUGAAGAAUAAGCACCGGCUAACUACGUGCCAGCAGCCGCGGUAAUACGUAGGGUGCAAGCGUUAAUCGGAAUUACUGGGCGUAAAGCGUGCGCAGGCGGUUUUGUAAGUCUGAUGUGAAAUCCCCGGGCUCAACCUGGGAAUUGCAUUGGAGACUGCAAGGCUAGAAUCUGGCAGAGGGGGGUAGAAUUCCACGUGUAGCAGUGAAAUGCGUAGAUAUGUGGAGGAACACCGAUGGCGAAGGCAGCCCCCUGGGUCAAGAUUGACGCUCAUGCACGAAAGCGUGGGGAGCAAACAGGAUUAGAAACCCGUGUAGUCCCAUG
rnacentral:rRNA from 1 species